UACAAGCCGUGGUAAAAUGGGAUCCGAAAUUUUAUAGUGAUUCUGCGUAUGCGUCGCGAUAUACGAAGGAAUGCAAUAUGGAUAUGUCCUGCGGCAGCUGUGUAUGCUUGUGAUAAACAUGAUCUUUCUUGAUGUGAGGUUAAUGUAAUUUUCAAAUUGUAUCAAUUACAUUAUCAGCAAAGUGCCUUCUCAACUUGUUCCAGUACACAAAGCAUAGACAAACUAGGUUUUUUCUAAUCGUCAAGAAAAAUAAGCUGAUUCCUGUUAAUCCCGAGUGCAAGGAUUCAUACCUGGGGCGACAAAUAGAAGAAAAUAAACUGAAAUACUUGUCGAAAAGUAAUAUUUGGAAGCCUUUUAUAAAAGAUAUGAAUUUUAAAGGCGCAAAAUGCAAAGUGUGUGAACAAUUUAUACAAAGCUCCGGAAACAAUCAUUUACAGCGAAAGCAUCCAGAUAUUUAUGCUAUCGAAAUGAUAACUUUUGACACUUCUGAUAGUGUCACGAAAACGAAAGAAAACGACAAAUGAUACUACAUCUAAAGAAAGUUGUAAUGAAUUAGAUGACGCUAUCUCCACCAUCUCCAGCACUGUCAAUAUUGCCAACAAGUAUGACAUCGUCGGUACAUGUGAAUUCAUUGAAAUCGUUAAAACAGCCGAGACUAAAAGAUAUUUUUUUGAAACAAAAAUCAUUUCUACAACACAUUACAGAUUAAAAAAUAA
rnacentral:lncRNA from 1 species